CCCUUAGACGUUCUGGGCCGCACGCGCGCUACACUGACCGGUGCAACAAGCAUCCGUCCUUGGCCGACAGGCCCGGGCAAUCUUUGAACGCCGGUCGUGAUGGGGAUAGACUUUUGCAAUUUUUGGUCUUCAACGAGGAGUUCCUAGUAAACGCAAGUCAUCAACUUGCAUUGAUUACGUCCCUGCCCUUUGUACACACCGCCCGUCGCACCUACCGAUUGAAUGGUCCGGUGAAGCCUCCGGAUUGGCGCGCACCUCGGUGCCGCCGAGAAGUUGGCUAAACCUUACCAUUUAGAGGAAGGUGAAGUCGUAACA
rnacentral:rRNA from 1 species